GAAUUUGGUUAAGGUUCAUGGUUUGUAAGCCCAAUUUAGGUUUACAUUAUGACGACAGCGGCAGUGAAAGCGGAGCACCGCGGUAGUCUAAUAAAAUUAUUUUACCGGGUUGGUCAAGUAAAUCUUUCAGCUAUAGUAUUCAGGAUUGUGAGCGGAGUGGAAACAUUGCACCAGUAUAGGGUGAAGAGGCGGGUAAUACUGGUGCCAGCACCAGCGGUUAAACCAAUGUCCUCAGGCUAACCUAAUUGUGAUUUGGUAUAAUGUUAUAAAUCUUUAUCUUCCCCCCAUUUAGGGUAGAAACAGAUGGGGCGGCUAAUUUCAAUAACGCAGGCAACCUAAAACCUGGGAUUAAAACGGGGAAAAUCCCCUUAUUAAUGGCGCCAGAAAAAUCACGGCGACUGAAGUUUAAAGUCAAUAUACUUGGCGGUGCUGCGAAUUCGUUUAGGGGAGUUUGGCGGUUAAUUCGAUGAACCACGUGUACUUCACCUUGUUAAUAUUUUCUAUACAGCCGUUGGUAGUCAUCUUUUAAGAAGAAUGGCGAAGCUCUUUAAUGAAGAGAAAUUCAGGUAAAUGUGGAGAUUAUAACAAGGGCUCAGCUGAGCUACAAUCCGAUGCGGACAUGAGCGCUCAUUUGAAAAAGUGGGUAAUAAGUGGACUUAACAGUAAAAAAUUUGCAGAAGAGAUUUUUGAACUGUGGAUCGCGGCGCGUACAAACCGCCCAACACUUCCGUAUUUAAAAACUGGGAUAAGUUGUAACAUGGAAAUGGUAGGCAAACUUGCCGUUUG
rnacentral:rRNA from 1 species